AGGAGGUAUAAAUAAAAACCCUUUCCAGUCAAGCUAAGGAGGAAGCAACGAGGAAGCCUCCUUCGUCCUUCCUCCACUGUCUCUUCUCUCUCUCUGUCUCGCUCUCGGAGUUUAUUCCGCUCUCAGCGCCUCACGCUCCCUUCGAUCUACAGCUUCAAGGUCCGGACGCGCCGGGUGUCAUCUCUCCUGCGACAGCAUGGACGACGCCUCGCCCAAGUCCAGCUCGCCCCGCCGAUCGACGCAUCGGCCGCGCGACGAGGAGAGUGGAGCCGCUGCUGGCGAGGAGAUCGACUGCGACGACACCUUCGUCAUCCCGCCGAAGAAUGCGCCGGUGGAACGCCUCAGGCGAUGGAGGCAAGCAGCACUUGUGCUAAAUGCGUCCAGGCGGUUCAGAUAUACUUUGGAUUUGAAGAAGGAGGAAGAAAAGGAGGAAGUAAGGAGGAAAAUCAGAGCACAUGCUCAAGUGAUAAGGGCAGCACUUCUUUUUAAAGAAGCAGGGGAGAGAGAGAAACCAGGAAUUCCUGGAGUACUAGAACAUGAAGAGCUUACUAAAAUGACCAGGGACCGUGACUUCUUUGCUCUACAAAGACAUGGAGGGGUUAAUGGAAUUGCUAGUCUAUUGAAGACUGAUUUGGACAAAGGAAUCAGUGGAGAUGAAGCUGAGAUAGUGCAUAGGAGGAACUCAUUUGGAUCCAACACUUACCCCGAAAAGAAAGGAAGAAGUUUUUUGGUUUUCCUAUGGGAAGCUUGGCAAGACCUAACCCUUAUCAUCCUUAUGAUUGCUGCAGCAGUGUCGUUGGCCUUAGGCAUAAAGACGGAGGGAAUUGAUCAAGGAUGGUACGAUGGAGGGAGCAUUUUCUUUGCUGUUUUUAUUGUCAUAGUUGUAACAGCUUUCAGUGAUUAUAGACAAUCUCUACAAUUCCAAAAUUUGAAUGAGGAGAAGCGGAACAUACAUUUGGAGGUAAUUAGAGGCGGCAGGAGAAUUAAAGUCUCAAUUUUUGAUCUUGUAGUCGGUGAUGUUGUUCCCCUCAAGAUCGGUGAUCUGGUUCCUGCUGAUGGGAUUGUUAUCACUGCCCAUUCUCUUGCGAUGGAUGAGUCUAGCAUGACCGGGGAGAGCAAAGUUGUUCAUAAAGAUCAAAAGGCACCAUUUUUGAUGGCUGGAUGCAAGGUUGCUGAUGGAUAUGGCAAUAUGCUGGUUACUGCAGUUGGCAUGAAUACUGAGUGGGGCAUAUUGAUGGCGAGCAUAUCAGAGGAUAAUGGGGAAGAGACUCCUCUGCAGGUGCGAUUGAAUGGACUUGCUACUUUCAUCGGUAUAGUGGGACUGACUGUUGCUGGAAUUGUCCUGGUAGUGCUUUUUGUCAGAUAUUUCACUGGAAAUACCAAGGAUCCUGAUGGAACUGUGCAAUUUGUCAAGGGACAGACUAGUACAAAAGCAGCAGUAAAUGGAGCCAUCAAGUUAUUCACAGUUGCUGUAACUAUUGUUGUUGUAGCUGUACCUGAAGGUCUUCCAUUGGCUGUUACUCUGACCUUGGCAUAUUCAAUGCGAAAAAUGAUGACAGACAAGGCUCUCGUGAGGAGGCUUUCUGCAUGUGAAACUAUGGGGUCAGCUACGACUAUUUGCAGUGACAAGACUGGAACUUUGACCCUGAAUGAGAUGACGAUUGUGGAGGCAUACAUUGGCAAAAAAAAGAUAGAUCCUCCUGAUAACGCUGAGUUGGUCUCUGCUUCUGUACUGUCUCGCUUAAUUGAUGGAAUUUCUCAGAAUACAAGAGGCAGUGUGUUUCAUCCAAAGGAUGGUGUUAUCGAGCUUAGUGGAUCACCUACUGAAAAGGCAAUUCUUUCUUGGGGGGUUAAGCUUGGGAUGAACUUUGAUGAUGCAAGAUCAAAAUCAUCAAUUAUACAUGUUUUCCCUUUUAAUUCAGAGAAAAAACGUGCAGGUGUUGCCAUACAAUUGUCAGAUUCUGAAGUUCAUGUUCACUGGAAAGGUGCUGCUGAGGUUAUGGUUGCCUCAUGUAUAAGUUGGCUUGAUACAGAUGGUAAACAGCAGCCAAUGGCUCCAGAUAAGAUAAAUGAAUUCUAUAAGUGCAUUGAAGAUAUGGCAGCAGUUAGCCUCCGCUGUAUGGCUUUUGCCUAUAGACCUUUAGAUUUGAAAGAGAUACCGAAUGAAGAGCAUAGGGGUGAUUGGUCAUUGCCUGAAGACCAUUUGAUUCUUCUUGCUAUUGUGGGAAUGAAAGAUCCUUGUCGUUCUGGAGUGAGAGAAGCUGUGGCUUUGUGCACUCGUGCAGGUGUAAAGGUUCGGAUGGUCACUGGUGACAAUCUUCGAACAGCUAAGGCUAUAGCAUUAGAAUGCGGAAUACUUAAGGAUGUUGAUGCUCCUGAGCCGAUUUUAAUCGAGGGGAAAACAUUCCGUACCAAGAGCAACGCAGAACAAGAUGAAAUUUCUGAGAAAAUAACAGUGAUGGGAAGGUCAUCCCCUAAUGACAAGCUUCUUCUUGUGCAAGCACUAAGGAGAAGAGGUCAUGUGGUUGCUGUAACAGGUGACGGCACUAAUGAUGCUCCUGCAUUGCAUGAGGCAGAUAUUGGGCUUGCAAUGGGUAUACAGGGAACAGAAGUAGCAAAAGAAAGCUCUGACAUCAUUAUAUUAGAUGAUGAUUUUGCAUCAGUUGUAAAGGUCGUCCGUUGGGGUCGUUCUGUGUAUGCAAAUAUUCAGAAAUUUAUACAAUUCCAGCUCACUGUCAAUGUUGCUGCACUUGUGAUAAAUGUUGUUGCUGCAUUUUCAUCAGGCGAAGUUCCUUUGAAUACUGUUCAGCUUCUGUGGGUCAAUCUUAUCAUGGACACACUUGGGGCACUUGCUUUGGCAACUGAACCACCUACUGACCACCUUAUGGACAGGACUCCUGUUGGGCGGAGGGAACCUCUUAUCACCAAUAUCAUGUGGAGGAAUCUUAUGGUUCAGGAUGUUGAAGGGGAGCCGGGGCACAACGGUAAAGUUGCUGUCAUCAAGAUAAGGCUGCGUACAAUAGAAUGCGGUCUGACCCAUCCCCGACAUUGGCGGAAGCUUCGUCCACCGGGCUUGUCUCUUUUUAUUCCUAAAUAGGAUGUCAAAUGGAGCUUUUCUUUUGUUUUCGAAAAUUUUAAUUUUGUAUUUUAUGGAGUUAAUAUUCAUGUUUUACUAAAUUGCAGGCUUUCUACCAAAUCACAGUCCUCCUGGUCCUAAAUUUUGCUGGUAAAAGUAUUUUGCAUCUAAAGCAUGAAACUCGAGAACAUGCAGACAAAGCCAAAAAUACUUUCAUAUUUAAUACCUUCGUUUUAUGUCAGAUUUUUAAUGAGUUUAACGCACGAAAAGUAGAUGAACUGAAUGUCUUCAGUGGUGUCCUCAAAAAUCACCUAUUUAUUGGAAUAGUUGGCCUUACCACUAUCCUCCAGGUUAUGAUUGUUGAGUUUCUCGGACAGUUCACUAAAACUGUAAGGCUCAAUUGGAAGCUCUGGUUAGUUUCAAUUGCAAUUGCUAUAAUAAGUUGGCCCCUGGCAGUUCUUGGAAAACUUAUCCCAGUACCGAGUACUCCCUUCGCCGAAUAUUUUAGCAGAUGCUCUUUCUGGAGGAAGAAACAAGAUGAUGGGGCAGCGCAGGAAAGUUCCAAUGCUCCUUCAUAAACGAGAACCGUCAUUUGAUAUUUUUUGAUACACAUGCAAAUACAAAGUAUUGUUCCAUAAAGAUAUUAACCCUACUGACAUAGCUAAUGAAUGAAUUGUGCAGCCGCUUCAUUUCCAUGUAAUUUUUGUCGUCUUCUAAUUGAUUUCAACUGUGUAUGAAGGUAUUUUUCAUGUUCCAGCUUUAUUUGCAGUUAUUAUAAGCACCCCUUAAAGA